UAUCAGAAACGGGUUUUAAGACUAUUUCCUUGUUUUGGUUUUUUUUUUUUCUGUAGAAUAUGAAUUCCUGUCAGUACAAAAACAAAAGGCUGCCUAAAUUAAAAGCAUUUUCCUUUAUAUUACAUGAAUCUAGUGCAGUCUGAAUUUUUUUUCCACACUACAAAUAUGCUGACAAGUUGUACUGAAAAAGGGAAGAAGACUUAAAAAAAAAAAAAAAAAAGGAACAAAAAUUAAAGACUAUAAAAAUGCAAGUGUUUCUUAUAAUCAAAUACCUGCUACAUGAACAGGAGGUAAUGAUCACAUUUGAAGGGUGUAAGCACUCCCAUCCAUAACAGCUGUUCCCACUCGGAGGGGGAAGGAAUGUAAAAGAAACUGGACACGUUUUGACUGGGGGAUGUUGGGAAUGAGAAAACUACAGUAGUUGGAAGAAUGCCCACAGCUGAUAACCUUCACCCAACCAGUUGAGAACUGCUUUAAAAUAUCUUCAGUAAGAUGAAAACAUAUACUCCAGUAAGGAAAUAAAGACUUUAAAAAGA